rnacentral:rRNA from 1 species
UACCUACGGGAGGCAGCAGUGGGGGAUAUUGCACAAUGGGGGAAACCCUGAUGCAGCGACGCCGCGUGUGGGAAGACGGUCCUCUGGAUUGUAAACCACUGUCCCCAGGGACGAAGAUGACGGUACCUGAAGAAAAAGCAUCGGCUAACUCCGUGCCAGCAGCCGCGGUAAUACGGAGGAUGCGAGCGUUAUCCGGAUUUAUUGGGUUUAAAGGGUGCGUAGGCGGAAUGCCAAGUCAGCGGUAAAAUCGCGGGGCUCAACCUCGCUCCGCCGUUGAAACUGGCGUUCUUGAGUGGGCGAGAAGU